CAGAAACCAUUUCCUUUUGGCUGGGAGCUUGAAAAGCAGCUGGGGAAGCAAAAGGCAAAGGACAAACUAUGAGGAUAUGGAAGAUGAUUGCUAGAAUUGGGAUUUACAGAAGGUAUAAAAAGACAUCCCACAUCUUAAUUCAGUAAAGACAGCCAUCUCUGCGGCCAGUCUGAGACAACAGAGUGUGAGCUGGUCCUGCCGAGACCAGCUGCCUACAGACGUGCCCUUCCCUGCCUGACUCAGGUCUGCUGGAACAGUCAUACCCUCUGCUCUGCUGUCAUACGCUCAGUACCCGGCUUGGAACGACACACAUUGGUUCUCCAGAUCAGUGUAGACACAUUUAAGAGGUAAGUUAUUUGGAGUUUGAAGGAUUCACUGAAGAAAUCAGUUAGAAUCAAAAUACUACUCCAUCAGACAUCAAGAAAUCAUGCCUAGGCUUCAUGCUUGUGAAGUUCUUUUGAUUUCUUACUAAACCCAAGACAUAUUGAAUUUGUGAUUCAGAGCUUGUGCACUGAACAUCUGAGCCUAAAAGAGAUGUUGCCAUGAACUGAUAUAGUGAUGGAUACAAACUGGGAAAGAGAAGAAAGAAGCACAUUCCCAGGGGGGUGAGAUGGAAGUCAUCAUAGGCUUCUAUGAGAGAGACCAGCCUGGACAUUAAAUUGGGGUCUCUCUGGUUCAAGUCCACUGAGAUAUG
ensembl:lncRNA